GCAUACUUGAUGUGGAUAGUCUCAACCCUAUCCGUGUCGUAGCUAACGCGUUAAGUAUGCCGCCUGAGGAGUACACUCGCAAGGGUGAAACUCAAAAGAAUUGACGGGGGCCCGCACAAGCAGUGGAGCAUGUGGUUUAAUUCGAUGCAACGCGAAGAACCUUACCUGGGCUUGACAUGUAUUUGACCGCGGCAGAAAUGUCGUUUUCCGCAAGGACAGAUACACAGGUGCUGCAUGGCUGUCGUCAGCUCGUGCCGUGAGGUGUUGGGUUAAGUCCCGCAACGAGCGCAACCCUUAUCGUUAGUUGCCAACACUUAGGGUGGGAACUCUAACGAGACUGCCUGGGUUAACCAGGAGGAAGGCGAGGAUGACGUCAAGUCAGCAUGGCCCUUAUGCCCAGGGCUACACACGUGCUACAAUGGCCAGUACA
rnacentral:rRNA from 1 species